rnacentral:rRNA from 1 species
AUUGAACGCUGGCGGCAUGCCUUACACAUGCAAGUCGAACGGCAGCACGGGUGCUUGCACCUGAUGGCGAGUAGCGAACGGGAGAGUAAUAUAUCGGAACGUACCUUAUUGUGGGGGAUAACGCAGCGAAAGCUGUGCUAAUACCGCAUAAUCCGUAAGGGGGAAAGCGGGGGACCGUAAGGCCUCACGCCAUUAGAGCGGCCAAUACCUGAUUAGCUAGUUGGUGAGGGAAAGGCUCACCAAGGCAACGAUCAGUGGCUGGACUGAGCGGACAUUAAGCCACACUGGGACUGAGACACGGCCCAGACUCCUACGGGAGGCAGCAGUGGGGAAGUUUGGACAAUGGGGGCAACCCUGAUCCAGCAAUGCCGCGUGAGUGAAGAAGGCCUUCGGGUUGUAAAGCUCUUUUGUCAGGGAAGAAACAGCAGCUCUAACACAGUUUGCGAAUGACGGUACCUGAAGAAUAAGCACCGGCUAACUACGUGCCAGCCGCCGCCGUAA